rfam:Candidatus Accumulibacter sp. BA-91 contig000339, whole genome shotgun sequence.
CACUGAAAAAGGCAAACCCGUCGAAAGGCGGGGACGCAAAGUCACCGAUCUAACGGAAACGGCAUGUUUCCCAGGAUAGCGGGGCCGCCAGG